rnacentral:siRNA from 1 species
UUUGUGUGAAAUUCUUAAUCUCCA